AAAGGCCCUGCUUGCAGGGUACUCGAGUGGCGAACGGGUGAGUAACACGUGGGUGAUCUGCCCUGCACUUCGGGAUAAGCCUGGGAAACUGGGUCUAAUACCGGAUAGGAGCCAUUUUUAGUGUGAUGGUUGGAAAGUUUUUUCGGUGUAGGAUGAGCUCGCGGCCUAUCAGCUUGUUGGUGGGGUAAUGGCCUACCAAGGCGGCGACGGGUAGCCGGCCUGAGAGGGUGGACGGCCACAUUGGGACUGAGAUACGGCCCAGACUCCUACGGGAGGCAGCAGUGGGGAAUAUUGCACAAUGGGCGCAAGCCUGAUGCAGCGACGCCGCGUGGGGGAUGACGGCCUUCGGGUUGUAAACUCCUUUCGCUAGGGACGAAGCUUUUUGUGACGGUACCUAGAUAAGAAGCACCGGCUAACUACGUGCCAGCAGCCGCGGUAAUACGUAGGGUGCGAGCGUUGUCCGGAAUUACUGGGCGUAAAGGGCUCGUAGGUGGUUUGUCGCGUCGACUGUGAAAUUCCGGGGCUUAACUCCGGGCGUGCAGGCGAUACAGGGCAUAACUUGAGUACUGUAGGGGUAACUGGAAUUCCUGGUGUACGGUGAAAUGCUCAAGAUAUCAGUGUAUGGUACACCGAUGCGUAAGGCAGGUUACUGGGCAAUUGGACUGACUGCUGAGGAGCUGAAAGCAUGGGUAGCGAACAGGAUUAGAUACCCUGGUAGUCCAUGCACGUAAACGAUGAGUGCUAAGUGUUAGGGGGUUUCCAGCCCACUUAGUGC
rnacentral:rRNA from 1 species